GUUGCCUUCGCCUUAGCGCUUGGCUUCGCGCAUGUGCAGUAAAGGGUGGCGCGAGCCAGCAGCUUCCGGCCGAAGAACAUGAUGCAAGGGGAGGCAAGUCCUAGUGCUUCUCUUAUUGACAGAACCAUCAAGAUGAGAAAAGAAACGGAAGCUAAGAAAGUGGUUUUAGCCUGGGGCCUCCUAAAUGUAUCUAUGGCUGGAAUGAUCUAUACUGAAAUGACUGGAAAAUUGAUUAGUUCAUAUUAUAAUGUGACAUACUGGCCCCUUUGGUAUAUUGAGCUUGCCCUUGCAUCCCUCUUCAGCCUGAAUGCCUUAUUUGAUUUUUGGAGGUAUUUCAAAUACACUGUGGCACCAACAAGUCUGGUUGUUAGUCCUGGACAGCAAACACUUUUAGGGUUGAAAACAGCUGUUGUACAGACUACUCCUCCACAUGAUCUGGCAGCAACCCAAAUCCCUCCCUCUCCAUCUUCUCCUUCAAUUCAGGGUCAGAGUGUGUUGAGCUAUAGCCCAUCUCGUUCACCCAGUACCAGCCCCAAGUUCACCACCAGCUGUAUAACCGGAUACAGCCCUCAGCUGCAAGGUCUGUCAUCAGGUGGCAGCGGGUCCUAUAGUCCCGGAGUGACUUACUCUCCCAUCAGUGGUUAUAAUAAGUUGGCAAGCUAUAGUCCCUCUCCUUCUUCUCCGUACCCUACAACUGUUGGACCAGUGGAGGGCAGUGGGCUGAGAUCUCGCUACCGUUCUUCACCCACUGUCUACAACUCCCCUACUGACAAAGAAGACUACAUGACAGACCUACGAACUUUGGAUACUUUUCUUAGAAGUGAGGAAGAGAAACAGCAUAGAGUUAAGCUGGGGAGUCCAGAUUCUACCUCGCCUUCCACCAGCCCUACGUUCUGGAACUACAAUCGUUCUAUGGGAGAUUAUGCACAGACUUUAAAGAAGUUUCAGUAUCAGCUUGCCUGUAGGUCUCAGGCCCCGUGUGCUAACAAAGAUGAAGCUGAUCUCAGUUCUAAACAAGCUGCAGAGGAGGUUUGGGCAAGAGUGACUAUGAAUAGACAACUUCUUGAUCAUAUGGAUUCAUGGACAGCUAAGUUCAGAAAUUGGAUCAAUGAGACAAUAUUAGUGCCACUGGUACAAGAGAUCGAGUCUGUCAGCACCCAGAUGAGACGAAUGGGUUGUCCCGAGCUUCAGAUAGGAGAGGCUAGCAUUACUAGCUUGAAGCAAGCUGCUCUGGUCAAAGCUCCCCUCAUUCCAACUUUGAACACAAUUGUGCAGUAUCUAGACCUAACACCGAAUCAGGAAUACUUGUUUGAAAGGAUUAAAGAACUUUCUCAGGGAGGCUGUAUGAGUUCAUUUCGAUGGAAUAGAGGUGGAGACUUCAAAGGACGGAAGUGGGAUACAGACCUGCCCACUGAUUCUGCAAUCAUCAUGCAUGUAUUUUGCACCUACCUUGACUCCAGAUUACCUCCACAUCCUAAGUACCCUGAUGGGAAAACAUUUACUUCUCAGCACUUUGUUCAGACACCAAAUAAACCAGAUGUGACAAAUGAGAAUGUUUUUUGCAUUUAUCAGAGUGCUAUCAACCCUCCCCAUUAUGAGCUAAUCUACCAGCGUCAUGUCUACAACCUUCCAAAGGGCCGAAAUAAUAUGUUUCAUACAUUGUUAAUGUUUCUCUAUAUCAUAAAAACCAAAGAGUCAGGAAUGCUUGGUUUUGCUUAAGCAUCCUGUUUUAUACAUGUUCUAGAACUACUUUGUCUCAUACAGCAGCCAUCAGCCACGUGUGGCUUUGAGCACUUGAAACAAGACUAAUCUGAAUUGAGAUGUUCUGAGAGUUAAUCUUGGUCUCUCCGGUGUGAAUAUUUUGUGGAUUUUUGGCGAGUAGCGGGUCAUUUAAUCCCAAACAUUUGGACUUCUAUUUGAUUGAACCAGGAGUUGAAUCUAAGGAUCUCUGAGUCACUGCCUCUUUUGAAAUAAGAUACAUAUGUGUGUAUUAACAGACUCUUCUAGAUUUAAUGAAAAAUUAGCUGUUAUGAAACUUCUUGUGAAAGUAUUUCCCAUGUUCUCUAUACCAAGAGACAUUCCCUUCACUUUUUUUAUUACCUUUCAGAUUUUUCAAUUGUCUAUAAAACUGAGCCAUCAGGUAUUUGUUGACCCCAAACAGUGCAAUUUCCCCUUAAUUAAGAAAGUUUUGUCCUUUUUCAUUGUAACCUACAAAUGAGAAUCAUCCACCUGAUUUUUCCCCACAAAAAAUUAUUUUUUUAAUCACAUUAUUUGGUGUAAAUAUUUAAACAAGGAAAUUGCUAAUUCAGCUUUUUUUUUUUAUCACUUUACUUUCCCCUUAUUCUUCAGAUCAGCCCAAGGCCCAUAUUUAAAGAAAUGAGAAAAACUUCUAAGUAAUGUAUUAGUCCAUGUAUAUUUUUAAGUACUAUUGAAAGAUGUUUGACAGUAUUGGCAUUUUUAGAAGUCUGCUCUUAGAUUAACUCACAGAGUUAAACUAUCUGGGUCUUAGGUUAAAAGACUGAAGACAUUAAGAAACUGUUGCUUUGGUUUUAAUAAUUCAUUUGUGUUAUUUUAAGAGUUCUCUUUUAAGAUCAUGCGAUAACUUAAAAUUUUUUUAGAUAUGUUCAAAAUAUCUGGAGAGUAAGAAGUAACUGAACCUGGCUUGACUCUGUUUUCUUCCACAUCUAUGUAGACGACCUUGAAGGCCAGCUAGCAAGUGCAUUUGUUUCCAGAUCAACGUACUGUUAGACACCACUUCUGUCACCUUAUGUAAACCUGGGAACAGCUAAAAACUCAUAAUCUUCUGAGUAACUGCAUUUUGGUCCUAUAUAUGCAGCUCAUUUUUAAUAAUUUGUAAAUUCUGUUUUUCAAAAAGGUGUUCCUGUUUUUUGAAAGUUGUAUGUCCAGAGGAAAGGAGGUUUCUUUUCACUGCUUUUGAUGUAUGUUAAAUACAUUUGCUGUGGUAUUUUAGAAAAAGAUGUCUAUUAAACAUGUUAGGUAUAAGAACAUGUGAAAAUCUAAGUACUGUUUCAAAACUUACUGAAGAUGUCAUGGAAUAACAGUUUUAUACUGUUAAUAUCUUUAUUAAAGGGAAUAAGGAGAAAAACUGUAACACAUAAGAUAAUUUUUUUUUCUUUAUAGGACUUAUGGCAGCUUUUAGUCCAAAGAUUCAAAGCUAUAAUAAUUUUAUUUUGUGAGUGACUAUCAAAAAAAUAUAUGGGAAAUACACAUGUACAAAGACUAGAGAUACAUACUAAAAAAGAGAAGCUCUUCUGUUUGCAUACUGUGAGUCUAGUGUGGGUUACUGUAUUCUAGGUAGUUUUCCUAUAUUGACUAGUCUCCACAAGUGUUUGAGCCAGCUUAUACUUUAAUGUAGCCUUUAUGAAAAAUACUUUGAUGAAUUAGUUGGAAUUCACACUUCAGGAAGAAGUACACUGCAAAUAUGGUAAUUUUUUUUUUUUUGGUCUUUGUGUUAUAAUGAGUAAAUACCCACUUUUCUCUAAUUAAAUGUUACUUACAGGGUA